GGAGGAAUACCGGUGGCGAAGGCGGCCCCCUGGACAAAGACGACUGCUCAGGUGCGAAAGCGUGGGGAGCAAACGGGAUUAGAUACCCUGGUAGUCCACGCCGUAAACGAUGUCGACUUGGAGGCUGUGCCCUUGAGGCGUGGCUUCCGGAGCUAACGCGUUAAGUCCAGUGUCUGGGGACUAUGGCCGCAAGGUUAAAACUCAAACGAAUUGACGGGGGCCCGCACAAGCGGUGGAGCAUGUGGUCUAAUUCGAUGCAACGCGAAGAACCCUUCCUACUCUUGACAUCCAGAGAACUUGGCAUAGAUGCUUUUGUGCCUUUGGGAAAUUUGAGACAGGUAGGGCAUUGACGUUGUCAACUUGUUUUGUGAAAUGUUGGGUUAAGUCCCGCAACGAGCGCAACCCCUAUCCUUUGUUGCCAGCGAUUCGGUCGGGAACUAAAAGGAGUCUGCCGGUGAUAAACCGGAGGAAGGUGGGGACGACGUCCAGUCAUCAUGG
rnacentral:rRNA from 1 species